GUACCGUCAAGACUCUACACGUAGAGUUGUUUCUUCCUGUAUAAAAGCAGUUUACAAUCCAUAGGACCGUCUUCCUGCACGCGGCAUGGCUGGUUCAGGCUUGCGCCCAUUGACCAAUAUUCCUCACUGCUGCCUCCCGUAGGAGUA
rnacentral:rRNA from 1 species